AUCCCAUGAUGAGGAUAGUUAUGAAGUAACUCCUUCAAUCACUCUGAAGCCUCAUACAAAGAAUCGUCAUCCAGUUGUUGGAAAGUUGUGAUCUUGUUCCUCAACUU
rfam:Gossypium arboreum cultivar AKA8401 contig_127939_1, whole genome shotgun sequence.